UAGCUGUGUUUCCUGUGUGUUACCUGUGUGUUAGCUGUGUGUUUCCUGUGUGUUACCUAGUGUGUUAGCUGUGUGUUAGCUGUGUGUUUCCUGUGUGUUAGCUGUGUGUUUCCUGUGUGUUAGCUGUGUGUUACCUGUGUGUUAGCUGUGUGUUUCCUGUGUGUUACCUGUGUGUUAGCUGUGUGUUUCCUGUGUGUUAGCUGUGUGUUACCUGUGUGUUAGCUGUGUGUUUCCUGUGUGUUACCUGUGUAUUACCUGUGUGUUAGCUGUGUGUUUCCUGUGUGUUAGCUGUGUUACCUGUGUGUGUUACCUGUGCAGAUGCUGAAGGCUUGUUCUUUCUGUUCUCUUGGUUCUGCUUGUUCUCUGCAGGUCCAAUCACUGAACAGUACAACCCAUCUGGUCAGGGUCCUGAAGGUGCAGAAAAUGUGGAACUGGAGGAUACCUGCUGACUUCCACAUCAAGCCGCGAGUUCGAUUCCUGCGCUACCGAUUCCAAUGUACCGACCAAUCAGCAUGGCCCAGGAAGUCAGAACCCUCCCACUAGGAGUAGCCCCGCCCCCUGUGGACCAGCAGCCCGUUGGUGUUUUUGUAUUUAAGUUUUGUUCAUAGAUGUUCAUGUUAGAGAGAUAAAUGAGUUUCUUACCUGAAGAGGUGUUACCUGAUGACAUCACACAGGACGUGACAUCAUCUUCAACGUCAGCAAUGUCAACAAUACAAUAAAGUUUUGUCUAUUUUGAACAUCA